UCAUUUUGUUAGUAAAGAGAAUGAUCAUUUUAAUUCCAAUGGGCAUAAGUAUAUCAUGCACCACGGAGAGAUUGAUUUGGUUGCUCUUGAAAAUGAAAUUUCAGACCUCAAUGACAGACUGGAGGCACUUGAGGCAGAUCACGAUUUUCUUGAGCAUAGUCUGAACUCUCUUCAAAAUGGAGAUGAGGGGCUACAAUUUGUUCAGGAGAUAGCUCAUCAACUGCAAGAAUUGCGGAAAAUUGGGAUAAGAUUAAUAUGUUAAUCUGUUCCUUGACACGUAUCAUGACGUGGUGUAUACUAAAAUUGUUAUGAGGAAACAAGAAACGAAAAGUCAAUACUACAGGAACAUUUUCAGCCAGUUGUGGGGGGGUACAUAGACCAAAAUAUCAUGGCUCGUUUAUUCUCUGCUCACCUACAAACAUGAAAGAUUAAGAUAGGGUUUCAUGUACAGCUUCCACAUUAGAUUCUUGGAGAAACAAAAAAGGUAUAUAUUAGCAAACAGUGUUAUCAGGUAUGGAAGUGAUGUCUUCUAUUUCCUUUUGUGCCCUAUUGGGCCUUGUUUUAAGGAAGAGAUGUCGGGGUUAGUUUUUGUUAUAUCAAUGAUGAUGAGGUUGUAAAAUGGGUGUUUUAAUCUUUUAGCAUAAUUUCUUGUUCUCAAGGGUGGUUCUGAUGGUACCCAAACAAAGAGGUCCUCAGAAUAUGCUGCAAAACACAAGUUGCUGGCCAUGGAGAGUCAUCCAAAUAUUAGAAGACAUUCUAGAAUUGGUGGGGGGGAUCAGAUUUAGGACAUAGGACUUUUGUUGUUCCCUCGGCUGUUUUGAGGAAUGCCUUGGCUUUUAGUUAAGAAGGCCACAACUCAUUUUGUUAAUAGAACCCUUAUGUUGAACUGCUUUA